rnacentral:rRNA from 1 species
AACGAACGCUGGCGGCAUGCCUAACACAUGCAAGUCGAACGAGACCUUCGGGUCUAGUGGCGCACGGGUGCGUAACGCGUGGGAACCUGCCCGUAGGUUCGGAAUAACUCCCCGAAAGGGGUGCUAAUACCGGAUAAUGUCUUCGGACCAAAGAUUUAUCGCCUUUGGAUGGGCCCGCGUUGGAUUAGCUGGUUGGUAGGGUAAAAGCCUACCAAGGCGACGAUCCAUAGCUGGUCUGAGAGGAUGAUCAGCCACACUGGGACUGAGACACGGCCCAGACUCCUACGGGAGGCAGCAGUGGGGAAUAUUGGACAAUGGGCGAAAGCCUGAUCCAGCAAUGCCGCGUGAGUGAUGAAGGCCUUAGGGUUGUAAAGCUCUUUUACCCGGGAUGAUAAUGACAGUACCGGGAGAAUAAGCUCCGGCUAACUCCGUG